UAGAGGUAUAACUUAGUGGAAGAGUGCUUGCCUAGCAUGCAUCUGGUCCUGGGUUGAUCCCCAGCAUUGAA
rnacentral:tRNA from 1 species